AUUAGACACCUUAAGCAGUCCUGCUCUCUCCUGACACGCUGCAGCUGGCUGGUGACCAGUGGACAUGGCAUGGCCCUGGAGCACCUUGGGGUUCACUCAGUGAAGAAAUUGUACCAGGAGACUGGGAAUAUCUUCCAAAUCCUUAGACAAACUGUCCUGAAAACAAACUGCUGAAAGAAAUAUAAGCAUAUGACUUUAAAAUGAUGCCUCUGGAAUUAAGGCACAUACAGCAUCUGCCAGGUGUUCAUGAUCCCACUUCCCCUACUUAACGAAGGCACCUAUAUUUCACCAGAAAUAAAAUUUUAUUAGUAACAUGUCAAAUGUUUUAAAAUACAAUUACCUUUCUUCUUCCUCUCCAUUUAAAAAACAAUCCAAUAAAAACUAAAUCAUGACCCAAAUAUUUUUAAAUGUGAAAAAGACAUAUUUUAGAUUAUGUAACAGAUACACAUUUUCCCAAAUAAAUGUUGUAGAACACCAUCUGCUUGAUAUUUGAGUGCAUUCCCACAGAAAUACAUUCCUACUUCUCUUCCUUCAUUAAUGGUUUAUGACAAAUUUAUGACACUAUAUUUCACAAUAGCUAUACCAAAAUUGUGUGACCGAAAGAGCCUGACAAAAAUCACUUGGCAUGCUCAAAUUAGACAAUUUAUGUGACUCUCAUUUACAGCAAUCCUCCACCCCUUACUGAGACCCCAGCAACUGAGGAAGAAUAGAAAAUUCACUGCAGGGGAAGGAUCUCUCACAGAAUAAAGCUC